CCUACGGGUGGCUGCAGUGGGGAAUAUUGCACAAUGGGCGCAAGCCUGAUGCAGCCAUGGCGCGUGUGUGAAGAAGGCCUUCGGGUUGUAAAGCACUUUCAGCGGGGAGGAAGGCGGUGAGGUUAAUAACCUCAUCGAUUGACGUUACCCGCAGAAGAAGCACCGGCUAACUCCGUGCCAGCAGCCGCGGUAAUACGGAGGGUGCAAGCGUUAAUCGGAAUUACUGGGCGUAAAGCGCACGCAGGCGGUCUGUCAAGUCGGAUGUGAAAUCCCCGGGCUCAACCUGGGAACUGCAUUCGAAACUGGGAGGCUAGAGUCUUGUAGAGGGGGGUAGAAUUCCAGGUGUAGCGGUGAAAUGCGUAGAGAUCUGGAGGAAUACCGGUGGCGAAGGCGGCCCCCUGGACAAAGACUGACGCUUAGGUGCGAAAGCGUGGGGAGCAAACAGGAUUAGAUACCCGUGUAGUC
rnacentral:rRNA from 1 species